AGUGAACGCUGGCGGUAGGCCUAACACAUGCAAGUCGAACGGCAGCACAGUAAGAGCUUGCUCUUACGGGUGGCGAGUGGCGGACGGGUGAGGAAUACAUCGGAAUCUACUUUUUCGUGGGGGAUAACGUAGGGAAACUUACGCUAAUACCGCAUACGACCUACGGGUGAAAGCAGGGGAUCUUCUGACCUUGCGCGAUUGAAUGAGCCGAUGUCGGAUUAGCUAGUUGGCGGGGUAAAGGCCCACCAAGGCGACGAUCCGUAGCUGGUCUGAGAGGAUGAUCAGCCACACUGGAACUGAGACACGGUCCAGACUCCUACGGGAGGCAGCAGUGGGGAAUAUUGGACAAAGGGCGCAAGCCUGAUCCAGCCAUACCGCGUGGGUGAAGAAGGCCUUCGGGUUGUAAAGCCCUUUUGUUGGGAAGGAAAAGCAGCAGGUUAAUACCCCGCUGUUCUGACGGUACCCAAAGAAUAAGCACCGGCUAACUUCGUG
rnacentral:rRNA from 1 species